rnacentral:rRNA from 1 species
UACGGGGGGGGCAAGCGUUGUCCGGAUUUAUUGGGCGUAAAGAGCUCGUAGGCGGUUUGUCGCGUCGACUGUGAAAACCCGAGGCUUAACCUCGGGCCUGCAGUCGAUACGGGCAGACUAGAGUUCGGUAGGGGAGACUGGAAUUCCUGGUGUAGCGGUGAAAUGCGCAGAUAUCAGGAGGAACACCGGUGGCGAAGGCGGGUCUCUGGGCAGUAACUGACGCUGAGGAGCGAAAGCGUGGGGAGCGAACAGG